rnacentral:rRNA from 1 species
GAGCGAGAAAAGGGGGGCAACUCCCUGAGUACAGCGGCGCACGGGUGAGUAACACGUGGGUAAUCUGCCCUAAAGUGGGGAAUAACACCGGGAAACCGGUGCUAAUACCGCAUACGAUCACAGAGUCUGCGGAUUUUGUGAUGAAAGGAGCAAUUCGCUUUAGGAGGAGCCCGCGGCUGAUUAGCUUGUUGGUGAGGUAAUGGCUCACCAAGGCUACGAUCAGUAUCCGGUCUGAGAGGACGGCCGGACACACUGGAACUGAGACACGGUCCAGACUCCUACGGGAGGCAGCAGUGGGGAAUUUUUGGCAAUGGGGGCAACCCUGACCAAGCAACGCCGCGUGGGUGAUGAAGUCUCUUGGGACGUAAAACCCUUUCGACGGGGAAGAAACCGCAAGGUUGACGGUACCCGUAGAAGAAGCCCCGGCUAACUCCGUG